ACCAUCCUUUCCUUGGGGUUGCGCUACUGUCCACUGAGCGGUCAGCGAGGGCAGUACUGCUAACGCCUGACCAACAUGCUCGAGCACGCUGCGGGGUGGCUAAGCAGCUUGCAAAC